rnacentral:rRNA from 1 species
CACGGGGGGAGCAAGCGUUGUUCGGAAUCACUGGGCGUAAAGGGCGUGUAGGCGGUCAGGUAAGUGGGAUGUGAAAGCCCUCGGCUCACCCGAGGAUCUGCAUCUCAAACUGCCUGGCUUGAGUAUGGGAGAGGAUGAGGGAAUUCCUGGUGUAGCGGUGAAAUGCGUAGAUAUCAGGAGGAACACCAGUGGCGAAGGCGGCUUUCUGGGCAUUUCCUGACGCUGAGACGCGAAAGCGUGGGGAGCGAACCGG